rnacentral:snRNA from 1 species
AGAUAUGAGGGUGAUCUGGCUUGCCAGGCAGGCAUCCCCUUCCUUCCUCAUUGCUCAUGUGCAUCCCUUCUGAAGCUGUGUACUUGGUCAAAGAGGACAAUUGUUCUUUCGUCAAGGGUGUACAAUUAGCUGCGCUCCUCUGUUGGAACCUCCAAAUGAGCUCUCAAGAAAGCCAACAGUUGGGGCAAGUUAUAUGGGCAGCCCUGGUGACACAGCGGUUUGGUGCCGCCUGCAGCC